AUACUAGUAUACAUACAUACAUAGUAUAGGAUAAACACCACCACUCAACUGUCUUUAGCGUAGAGCGUCGAACUGCUAGAUGAACGAAGCCUACGCACUGCGACGGCCGAAUUCGACUCACCCAAAUGCAAUGAAUCAAAAUAAGGCUAGGAGUGAGAAAGCAGACGUUGUAGCGUUUAUAUCGACUAUUAUCGGUAGAACCACUGGCGAUCAAGCAACAGCAAUAUAAUGUGAUCGAGCUGAGCCUUCGCUAGCCGCGAAAAGUUCUAGCUAUGGGAGCAACUAUACUAGAGUACUGUAGAACAAAUGAAUGCUACAUAUAUGUAUGUGUAUACAUAUAUAGUAUGUGAGAAAAAAAGGAGGAACAAAGUACGAAGUCAUUUCCAGGCAUAAAGGCUUUGAGUAAGUGGGACACGCUUACUGUUUUCUAGCUAGUCGUUCGCGUUCGCGAAUAUUGAAGUGGAAUGAUUCAGGCCCAUCUUGUUUUGAACAGCCCAAGACAAGAGACAAAAGCCAGCUGACUUUCUGAAAACUCGUAUUUGAUGAUGUUCAGCGAAGGGAAGCCAAAUUCAGACUUGAAGCUGAUAUCAGCGUAAUAGGUGUAACAGGUCACGCAAUUGUUACCGCGCUGUUAGGCGAUUAAGUUUUACUUCUGCAACCGUGUUAAGCUUCGUAAUAUGUUCCAAAAAUUUAUAAGGCCGCUGGGCCCCAACUCAGGCUCAUAUUGGCUUUCUGUGUAUAUCUUUAUACUUCGUUAUUACCUAUACGAGAGGGGAGCUUUAAGUAUGUUUAACUCCUGCCUAUCCUGCUGCCACCCAUAACGGAAAUUCAACAGGUCGACUGGCCUGUUUCCAGAAUAAGAUUACCAGCGGAAGUUGUCCGACCGGGCUGCUUUUUAGAGAAAUGUCAAUGAAGUUACCGUAGGGAAGAGGAUUCCGUAUUCACGCACCGUGAUAAUAACGGAUCGUGCGUCGAGGGAGGCGAGAAGACUCGUUGACAAAAAUAUUGCUGUUUUAUCUCUAACUUAUUUGGCCGGUAGCAUUUUAGAGAAAAAGAAUCUAACUACGACGUUAAAGAUC